CCUACGGGAGGCAGCAGUGGGGAAUCUUGCGCAAUGGGCGAAAGCCUGACGCAGCCAUGCCGCGUGAAUGAUGAAGGUCUUAGGAUUGUAAAAUUCUUUCACCGGGGACGAUAAUGACGGUACCCGGAGAAGAAGCCCCGGCUAACUUCGUGCCAGCAGCCGCGGUAAUACGAAGGGGGCUAGCGUUGCUCGGAAUUACUGGGCGUAAAGGGAGCGUAGGCGGAUAGUUUAGUCAGAGGUGAAAGCCCAGGGCUCAACCUUGGAAUUGCCUUUGAUACUGGCUAUCUUGAGUAUGGGAGAGGUAUGCGGAACUCCGAGUGUAGAGGUGAAAUUCGUAGAUAUUCGGAAGAACACCAGUGGCGAAGGCGGCAUACUGGCCCAUUACUGACGCUGAGGCUCGAAAGCGUGGGGAGCAAACAGGAUUAGAUACCCUGGUAGUCCACGCUGUAAACGAUGAGUGCUAGUUGUCGGCAUGCAUGCAUGUCGGUGACGCAGCUACGACAUAAGACACUCCGCCGUCGGGAGGUACGGUCGCGAAGAAGUUAAAACGUAACGAAAGGAAAGUUAGACGGCGUGAGACGUGCCGACGGACGACGACGAGGGAGGUUAGG
rnacentral:rRNA from 1 species